rnacentral:rRNA from 1 species
GUAGGUGGCAAGCGUUGUCCGGAAUUAUUGGGGCGUAAAGCGCGCGCAGGCGGUUCUUUAAGUCUGAUGUGAAAGCCCACGGGCUCAACCGUGGAGGGUCAUUGGAAACUGGAGAACUUGAGUACAGAAGAGGAAAGCGGAAUUCCACGUGUAGCGGUGAAAUGCGUAGAGAUGUGGAGGAACACCAGUGGCGAAGGCGGCUUUCUGGUCUGUAACUGACGCUGAGGCGCGAAAGCGUGGGGAGCAAACAGGAUUAGAUACCCUGGUAGUCCACGCCGUAAACGAUGAGUGCUAAGUGUUAGGGGGUUUCCGGCCCCUUACGUGCUGCAGCUAACGCAUUAAGCACUCCGCCUGGGGAGUACGGCCGCAAGGCUG